UAUAAUUUAUUACUUUUCUUUUUCUUUUUAUCCUUAAAUUAGAUCUGAACUGUCCGAUCAAAUGAUCGGAUGGUUCAAAUUUUAAUCAAAAACAAAUAUCAAAGGACAUUUGUCUCUUCCUACACUUCUUUUCUCUCUGAAAACUCAACCACACAUAUCUCUCCCCCUUUCCCCAAAAAUCAAAGUUCAAUCUCCAUCAAUGCCCAAAAACAACAACACAAACCAUUACUAUUUCUCCUAUUUCUUUCUUCCUCUCCUUCACCCUUCCAAAAUUAGAAAACCCUAUCCUCCGCUAGCCUACCCGAUCUUCCAUUUCCAUCACCCCAAAAUCAUGAAUCCAUAAAUUAGAAAAAUCAAUCCCCUAAAUCGGUAUAACAACAAUUUUUUUUAAAUUCGCCAUUAAUGGCCUAACAAGGCUGGAGAUUCGAAAAGAAUUCGUCUAGGGGAAUUCAAAUUUUAAAUUUUGAAUCACUAUUUCAGAAGUUUUGUGAAUUUUUUAUUUCAAAUCUGAACUUUCAAGUUUGGAUUUGCACCUAUAAAUAUGGUGUUGUCAUUCCAUUGGAAGGGCAUAAAAGGGGUCAAAAAGAGGAGGAGAGAGUGAAGAAAGGUGUGAAAAAAUUAAUGAAAACCCGUGAGAGAGUGAAGAGAAAAACAAAAAAAGGGUGAAAAGAGGGUGGAAGUGCAAAAAAUAGUAAAGAACAAGUUGGGAAAUAAAAAAUCCAUAUGCAAAGUUAUGAAAUCUCUAUUUUAUUUUAUCCAUUUUUAGUCUAGAUUCAAGUUUUGGGGUUUGAGUCCAUGCCAAAAAAUAUCUUGACAUUAUUGCUCCAAUAUGCUUCCCCCUACAAGGAGAACACUUGGAGUUUGAGAAUAAACUCCACCUCUUCCCAAAUUAGAGAAAUGCUCGUCGAUGUCGCACCAUUUUGUAUCUCAUGUUGAGAGAGUCUACCGCUUUCUCCCUUUCUCUAAAGUCUAUAUUGUGUUUAUUAAUACUAUCAUAUGUCUUCGCUAAUAUUAUACUAAUUUGAUAUUUGUGUUUAUUCUGCCUUA